CAGUAGCCGCGGUAAUACGAGGGGUGCAAGCGUUAUUCGGAUUGAUUGGGUGUAAAGGGUGUGCAGACGGCUUAUUAAGUCACUUGUUAAAUUCUUCGGCCUAACUGAAGGUCUGCAAGUGAUACUGAUGAGCUAGAGGGUGGAAGAGAGAAGUGGAAUUCUCGGAGUAGCGGUAAAAUGCGUAGAUCUCGUGAGGAACACCAAUGGCGAAGGCAGCUUCUUGGUCCAUUCCUGACGUUCAUACACGAAAGCGUGGGGAGCAAACAGGAUUAGAUACCCCCGUAGUCCCUGUCUCUUAUAC
rnacentral:rRNA from 1 species